GUGCUUACUUCGGCAGCACAGAUACUAAAACUGGAAUGCUACAGGGAAGGUUGGCAUGGCCCCUGCUCAAGGAUGACACGCAAAUUCAUGAAGCGUUCCAUAUCUUU